rnacentral:rRNA from 1 species
CUACGGGUGGCUCCAGUCGGGAAUAUUGCGCAAUGGAGGAAACUCUGACGCAGUGACGCCGCGUAUAGGAAGAAGGUUUUCGGAUUAUAAACUAUUGUCGUUAGGGAAGAUAAAAGACAGUACCUAAGGAGGAAGCUCCGGCUAACUACGUGCCAGCAGCCGCGGUAAUACGUAGGGAGCAAGCGUUAUCCGGAUUUAUUGGGUGUAAAGGGUGCGUAGACGGGAAGACAAGUUAGUUGUGAAAUCCCUCGGCUUAACUGAGGAACUGCAACUAAAACUAUUUUUCUUGAGUGUUGGAGAGGAAAGUGGAAUUCCUAGUGUAGCGGUGAAAUGCGUAGAUAUUAGGAGGAACACCGAUGGCGAAGGCGACUUUCUGGACAAUAACUGACGUUGAGGCACGAAAGUGUGGGGAGCAAACAGGAUUAGAUACCCUGGUAGUC